AUUGAACGCUGGCGGAAUGCUUUACACAUGCAAGUCGAACGGUAGAGGGGGCAACCCCUCGAGAGUGGCGAACGGGUGAGUAAUAUAUCGGAACGUGCCCAGUCGUGGGGGAUAACGUAGCGAAAGUUACGCUAAUACCGCAUACGAUCUAAGGAUGAAAGCGGGGGAUCGCAAGACCUCGCGCGAUUGGAGCGGCCGAUAUCAGAUUAGGUAGUUGGUGGGGUAAAGGCUCACCAAGCCAACGAUCGGUAGCUGGGCUGAGAGGACGACCAGCCACACUGGAACUGAGACACGGUCCAGACUCCUACGGGAGGCAGCAGUGGGGAAUUUUGGACAAUGGACGCAAGUCUGAUCCAGCCAUUCCGCGUGCAGGAUGAAGGCCCUCGGGUUGUAAACUGCCUUUGUACGGAACGAAAAGGUCUCUCUUAAUACGGGGGGCUCAUGACGGUACCGUAAGAAUAAGCACCGGCUAACUACGUGCCAGCCGCCGCAGUAA
rnacentral:rRNA from 1 species